UAUAGAUGGAUCCGCGCUGCAUUAGCUAGUUGGUAAGGUAACGGCUUACCAAGGCAACGAUGCAUAGCCGACCUGAGAGGGUGAUCGGCCACACUGGAACUGAGACACGGUCCAGACUCCUACGGGAGGCAGCAGUAGGGAAUCUUCCGCAAUGGGCGAAAGCCUGACGGAGCAACGCCGCGUGAGUGAUGAAGGUCUUCGGAUCGUAAAACUCUGUUAUUAGGGAAGAACAUAUGUGUAAGUAACUGUGCACAUCUUGACGGUACCUAAUCAGAAAGCCACGGCUAACUACGUGCCAGCAGCCGCGGUAAUACGUAGGUGGCAAGCGUUAUCCGGAAUUAUUGGGCGUAAAGCGCGCGUAGGCGGUUUUUUAAGUCUGAUGUGAAAGCCCACGGCUCAACCGUGGAGGGUCAUUGGAAACUGGAAAACUUGAGUGCAGAAGAGGAAAGUGGAAUUCCAUGUGUAGCGGUGAAAUGCGCAGAGAUAUGGAGGAACACCAGUGGCGAAGGCGACUUUCUGGUCUGUAACUGACGCUGAUGUGCGAAAGCGUGGGGAUCAAACAGGAUUAGAUACCCUGGUAGUCCACGCCGUAAACGAUGAGUGCUAAGUGUUAGGGGGUUUCCGCCCCUUAGUGCUGCAGCUAACGCAUUAAGCACUCCGCCUGGGGAGUACGACCGCAAGGUUGAAACUCAAAGGAAUUGACGGAGACCCGCACAAGCGGUGGAGCAUGUGGUUUAAUUCGAAGCAACGCGAAGAACCUUACCAAAUCUUGACAUCCUUUGACAACUCUAGAGAUAGAGCCUUCCUCUUCGGGGGACAAAGUGACAGGUGGUGCAUGGUUGUCGUCAGCUCGUGUCGUGAGAUGUUGGGUUAAGUCCCGCAACGAGCGCAACCCUUAAGCUUAGUUGCCAUCAUUAAGUUGGGCA
rnacentral:rRNA from 1 species